UAAAGGCCUACCGAAACACAGAUUUGUCCUAAAUUAGAGAAAUUUGAGUUUAGUUUUAAUUUAUUUCGCAAGAGAAUUGUUACUGCCAAUGCACUGAAAGUAGAAGUACUACUACACUUCAGUUUUCAAAGUUAGUGUUGUGACCCAGUUUUAUAACCAAAGAAGCCUGAAAUUCUUGCAGUAGUUUAGACCAUAUUGUGAAAAUUACUAAAUAGUAUAGAAUAUAGCACAUAUUUUUCCUUCCUGAAUGUUCAUGUUAUUGACGAAUUUACUUCUCAUUACAUUUAAUGUAUACCUUUUAUUAUCGUUCAUGUAUUCACCUAUGUCGGAACUGUGUAGUUAUAGCUCUGAAAUAAUUUUGAAAAGUUAUACUCCAUUUCGUCACAGACUUACAGUUAAUUUUCGUAUUGGUAACGCCCCCCAUCUAGUUCGACAAUUUGUCAAGCAGUCACUAAUAGUGUUUGUAUAAUUAGUUCCAAUCAUAUCAUUACAGAAUAUUUUACUAAUCAAUAAUUGUAGUAGCAGUUUUGUCUACUGUUUGGAAAUUAUAAUCCCCAUUAAAAGUUUAUAAAUCUAUUAUAUUCAUUACAUUAUAUGAAUUAAGGUCGAAAUUCGUUCUGUGUGGGAUAUAAGUUGUAGAAAUGUGUGUAAAACAUGAAUAUUCAUAUCAUGCCCCUACAUUCCCCAAAGGUCUCAUGUUCUUAUAAUAGGAUGUGCAUUGUUGAUGAUCAAGUCUCAUAUGCAGUUUCACUUAUAGUAGUACAGUUUUCCAAUAUGAGCCAAGAGUGUGUUAUGUUUCCAUUAAAAUGUUUUGGCAAUGAAUGUAAUAAGGGGUUCAUGUUAGGUGACGUUACUAAUAUGCAUGUUACCCCUUCAGUGAUAUAUAUGAAAUGUGCAGUGAAACAUAGAACUUUUGUCCAGCAUGCACAUAAAACUGGAAUUGCUUUCAGGAUUGAAAGUCCUGAGAGAAAUAUAAAUUGGAUCGUGAGAGAAACUUAUGAAGCUACACAUAUUUUAUUAGCUUCUGUCUGAAUGAUGAUAUCUGAGCAGUAACUUAUACAGCACCAUCAGUUUGCAUUGAUAACAUGAGUGAAGUACAUGAAGAAUCUGUAGUAUCAGACGAGGAGGAAUCACAGGAUCAAGCAAGAGAUGACCCUGAUGAGUGUGAUAAUGGCUGUGAUGGACCACGACCUGACUUCCAGCUUGUAAAGACAGAAGUUAUAAAUGAUGGUGAAGUAGAAACAGUUACUGAUGUUACAGAGAAUGAUGAUGUAGAGAGUACUGAAGCAUUGAAGAAUGAUUCACAAAGCAUUCAUUUUGAGGAUUUAAUUGAUACGACUACGUAUCUGGGCAGUAAGUCACCACUGCAUGACAGUGAGAGUGAUGAUUCAGAUUUUAUUACCGAUGAUACGUACACAGAAAAAGAUCUAAAAGAUGGUGAAAUUCUUCCAACAAAUGCAGUCUGGAUUAAGGAACCUUCAACUCGUUACUUCUGCGAUAUUUGUGGUCAAGGUUUUGUAAUUAAACACAGCAUAACUCAGCAUAAACGAAAGAAGCAUGGUAUCCAUCCUUAUACAUGUGUCUUAUGUUCACAAACAUUCCCUAAGAAGCAAGAUCAACUUCGGCACUUGCAGAGUCAUUCUGGGCCAGAUGGAUUUGAAUGUGAGUCAUGUCCCAAAGUCAUUCCGGGUAUUGAUGCCUUUUUGCGGCAUCGGAAGAUACACACCACAGAGAAGAAUAUUCCAUGUCUAACAUGUGGUAUGCUGUUUCGAACCACUUGGGAAUUACGAUCGCAUUCUGUGACACACUCAGAUAGUCGAAGGUUCUCUUGCACUGAGUGUGGUCAGGGAUUUGCUGUAAAAGCACGUUUGCUUGAUCAUAUAAACAGUCACACAGGAUCUCGGCCAUAUAAAUGUGAGAUCUGUGGAAAAACGUUUGCUGCACAAUCAGGUUGGAGCAAUCACUGUAAGUUACACACGGGACGAAAACCAUUUAAAUGUGAAUAUUGUGACAGGAGCUUUGUGACCAAUGCUAAUCGUCGUAAACAUGCUCGUACACACACAGGUGAGAAACGUUAUGAAUGUUCAGAUUGCCACAAGAAAUACAGUGCUCCAAAUUCACUUGCAAUUCAUAAGUUGCUGCAUACUGGAAACAAACCUUAUCAAUGUGAUGUGUGCAGUGCAACAUUUCGAUGCAGUUCACAGUUGGUGAAUCAUCGACGUAUACAUACAGGUGAACGUCCGUACACCUGUGAUCUUUGUGGGUCAGCUUUCUCACAGGCAAGUAACCUGAAUACACAUCGAAAAACACACGAGAGGUACCAGAAGAUGCUUGAUGAAAAAGUAGAGAAGACCGCUCAUACAGAAUACAAGAAAUCACAAGAACGAUAUCAGAAAAUGCUGGGUGAUAAAGUAGCCAAGCUUCCUAGCACAGAAUAUGUUUCAGCUGUUGAGCACUUACUUGGAGACUGACAUAACGCCCAAGAUGGAAGCUUGCUGGAAGGAAAACAGGACUUAACGACAGGAACACAAGAAUGUGCCCUUAAUAGAAUUGACACAAAAAAUAUAGUUGCUGGUCUUCUGGGUUAUUGCACUGUGUAGCAUCUUGGAUGAACAUAAUGCCUCCAUCCUCAGGGCUGAAGAGAAUGAAUUAAUAAAUGAAUAGUUGGCACAAAAAGCAAUCUAAGAAAUGCUGUCAUGGGAAUGUUUAGGAACUUGACAAAUCUGAAUAUUAGAAGAUAUGCUUGGAAUACUUUUGAAGUAAAAACAAAUUCAUAGAACAACGUAUAUAUACAUGUCUCAUCACCAGACUACAGGACAAAACAUCUUAUGAAUGUAGCUAAUACAUUCUUAAGAACCGUGUCAUAGUUCAUGUAUUUGGGAAGGAACAGCAGAUCAAAAUUUCAUUUGUGAAAAAAGUGUGAAAUUUGGUCCCUUUGUUAAGGGAAGUCCACAGAUUGGGAUGUUUGAGCAGUGCUGAAGAGAAUAUUUAGACCUACAUUUAAUGACGUGACAGGAGGCUGGAGAGAAUUGCAUAAUGAGGAGCUUCAUAAUUUGUACUCUUCAGCACAUUAUCAGGAUCGUCAAAUCAAUGUAGUACAUAGGGAAGAAAUACAUUCAAAGAAUAGACAAUUUAAACCCCAUCAUUACUGGGCUUCCAGCUGGACCAUAACUCCAAGGUUAAUGACUUGGUGGUAUGCUACUGCAAUACACAGUCAGCUGGACCACACGUAAGCUGUGACACACAAUGAUGUUUGAAUGAAGUGAGAAGGAAGAGGAAUUUAGAUGGUAUAUGCAGUAGCUUCAAAUAGCAACACAAGAACUCUUGCCUAUAAUGCCUUCACUUAAAUAUAGUUAUCGUAGUGAUCUUAUCCAUUUGUAUAUUGGGAUAGCAGCAUAGAAUAUAUCAUGGCAACAAAUUUAUUAUCAAUUGAUCAUGUAUUAUCAUCAUCAUCAUCAUCAUCAUUAACUUAAGUGCAAAUUAGGCCUAGCAUGAUAUGUGACAAUGGUUGAUUCAUUAUAGGAACAAAGUUGGAUAUUGUUUGGCA